GAUGAACGCUGGCGGCGUGCCUAACACAUGCAAGUCGAGCGAACGGACGAGGGGUUUGCUUUUCUGAUGUUAGCGGCGGACGGGUGAGUAACACGUGGAUAACCUACCUAUACGACUGCGAUAACUUCGGCAAACCGGAGCUAACACCUGAUAAUAUUUUGCACCUCAUGGUUCAACAUUGAAAGACGGUCUUUCUGUCACUUAUAGAUGGAUCCGCGCUGCAUUAGCUAGUUGGUAAGGUAACGGCUUACCAAGGCAACGAUGCAUAGCCGACCUGAGAGGGUGGUAGGGCACACCAGAACUGAGACAAGGCCCAGACUACUACGGGACGGAGCAGAGGGGAAUCGUACACAAUGGGCGAAAGGCAGGCGGAGAAAAGCCGAGUGAGGGAUGAAGGGAUGCGGAUCGGAAUACUCUGUUACUAGGGAGGAACAUAUGUGUAAGUAACGGGGCAGUUCUUGAAGGUACCUAAUCAGAAAGCCACGGCUAACUACGUG
rnacentral:rRNA from 1 species